rnacentral:rRNA from 1 species
GACGAAUGCUGGCGGCGUGCUUAACACAUGCAAGUCGAACGAUGAACCCGGAGCUUGCUCUGGGGGAUUAGUGGCGAACGGGUGAGUAACACGUGAGUAACCUGCCCUGGACUCUGGGAUAAGCGUUGGAAACGACGUCUAAUACCGGAUAGGACCUUGGAUCGCAUGAUCUGGGGUGGAAAGUUUUUUCGGUCUGGGAUGGACUCGCGGCCUAUCAGCUUGUUGGUGAGGUAAUGGCUCACCAAGGCGUCGACGGGUAGCCGGCCUGAGAGGGUGACCGGCCACACUGGGACUGAGACACGGCCCAGACUCCUACAGGAGGCAGCAGUGGGGAAUAUUGCACAAUGGGCGAAAGCCUGAUGCAGCAACGCCGCGUGCGGGAUGACGGCCUUCGGGUUGUAAACCGCUUUUAGUAGGGAAGAAGGGCUUCGGCUUGACGGUACCUGCAGAAAAAGGACCGGCUAACUACGUG